UGGAGCAUGUGGUUUAAUUCGACGCAACGCGAAGAACCUUACCUGGGCUUGACAUCCCGAUCGUACCUGCUGGAAACAGCGGGGUCAGUUCGGCUGGAUCGGAGACAGGUGCUGCAUGGCUGUCGUCAGCUCGUGUCGUGAGAUGUUGGGUUAAGUCCCGCAACGAGCGCAACCCUUGUCCUUAGUUGCCAUCAUUUAGUUGGGCACUCUAAGGAGACUGCCGGUGUUAAACCGGAGGAAGGUGGGAUGACGUCAAGUCCUCAUGGCCCUUAUGUCCAGGGCUACACACGUGCUACAAUGGGUGGUACAAAGAGAAGCCAACUCGCGAGAGCGCGCCAAUCUCAAAAAGCCAUCCUCAGUUCGGAUUGGAGUCUGCAACUCGACUCCAUGAAGUUGGAAUCGCUAGUAAUCGCGGAUCAGCAUGCCGCGGUCGAAUACGUUCCCGGGCCUU
rnacentral:rRNA from 1 species